GAAGGCUCCGGGCUAAGGAGCGUCGCUGGAGGCUCUGGGCUGAGGAGCGUCGCUGGAGGCUCUGGGCUGAGGAGCGUCGCUGGAGGCUCCGGACUAGGGAUGCGCACUGGAGGUCCGAUGCGUGGGACUGGCAUAGGUGGCGCCAGACUGGUAACAUGCACCUCAGGUCGAGUGCGGGGAGCAGGAACAGGACACCCCGGACUGGUCAGGCGCACUGGAGGCCUGAUGCGUGGAGCUGGCAUAGGAGACGCCAGAUUAGUAACACGCAACUCAGGGCGAGUGCGGGGAGCAGGCACAGGACGUAUUGGGCUAUGGAGGAGCACUGAAUGGAGAGUGCGAGGAGCAGGCACAGGACAUACUGGGCUUUGGAGGUGCACUGGAGAGAGAGUGCGAGGAGCAGGAAUAGGACAUACCGGGCUGUUGAGACUUACUGGAGACCUGGUGUGUAUCGCCGGUAUCACUUGUUCCGGAACUUCCACACACUUCUCAGGUUGAGUAUGGGGAGCUGACUCAGGUGGCACCAAACUGACGACACGUUCCUUUGGGAAAAACUUGUGCGUCCUCCACCAACUCAAUAGCUCUCCCAUUUCUCCCUUCUCCAAAUUCUCCCUCUUCUCCCGGAUUGGCUCUGGUUUGCUCCUCGGCUCCGCCGACUGCUCCAUGUGCCCCCCCAACAUUUUCUUUGGGUUUUUGUAGCCUCUCGUGCUUCCCAGGUAGGCUCCAAUAACGCUCAAUUACCUGGCCCCAAGUCCAGUCUCUCCUCUCUAACCACUCCUGAUGUGACCAGGUGUCCAUCUCCUCUUGAGCACGCUGCUUGAUCCAGUUGUGGUGGGUAGUUCUGUUGGCUUUGGGGAUGACCAGUGAGAUAUACCUGCUGGAGCGCGUGCUAUGGGUGGGGGUUGUUAUGGUGACCAGUGAGCUGAGAUAAGGCGGAGCUUUACCUAGCAAAGACUUAUAGAUGACCUGGAGUCAGUGGGUCUGGCGACGAAUAUGUUGACUAGAACAUACAGUUGACUAGAACAUACAGGUCGCAGUGGUCGGUGGUAUAUGGGGCUUUGGUGACAGAACGGAUGGCACUGUGAUAGACUGCAUCCAGUUUGCUGAGUAGAGUGUUGGAGGCUAUUUUGUAAAUGACAUUGCCGAAGUCGAGGAUUGGUAGGAGAGUCAGUUUUACGAGGGUAUGUUUGGCGGUGUGAGUGAAGGAGGCUUUGUUGCAAAAUAGGAAGCCGAUUCUAGAUUACAUUUUGGAUUGGAGAUGUUUAACCUCUAUGGGCUAGGCGGGACGUAAUCGUCCCACCUACGUAACAGCCAGUGUAAUCCAGUGGCGCGAUUUUCAAAUACCUUAAUGUGAGUCUGGAAGGAGAGUUUACAGUCUAGCCAGACACCUAGGUAUUUGUAGUUGUCCACAUAUUCAGAACCGUCCAAAGUAAUGAUGCUAGUCGGGUGGGCGGGUGUGGGCAGCGAACGGUUGAAGAGCAUGCAUUUAGUUUUACUAGCGUUUAAGAGCAGUUGGAGGCCAUGGAAGGAGUGUUGUAUGGCAUUGAAGCUUGUUUGGAGGUUUGUUAACCUUUCUGGUGCAGGCGUUCCGCUAGCGACCCACCUCGGCAACAUCCGGUGAAAUGCAGAGCGCCAAAUUCAAAAUACAGAAAUAGUCAUAAUAAUAGGCUUCCCUGUGGCUCAGUUGGUAGAGCAUGGUUUUUGCAACGCCAGGGUUGUGGGUUCGAUUCCCACGGGGGGCCAUGUCUGACAUUUAUUAUGGAGCUGCGGCUUGGAGUAUUGUUUCUUCGUCCUAUGUAAAUCUAUUUACACCCACUCCACCCUGUAUAGGAGCGCCACGAUUAUGAGAGAGAGGACAGGAGGUAUUCCCUAUAUAGUGCACUACUUUUCACCAGGCCCCAUAGGGAAUAUGGUGCCGUUUGGGACGCAAAUAUCGAAAUAAAUGACAAUGGUAGUGAACAUGACCUUGGUGAACUGUGUCUGCAUCCCAAGAAGCAUCCUAUUCCCGAUGGGCACUGGUCAAAAGUAGGGAAUACUGUGCCAUAGGGCUCUGGUCAAAGUAAUGCACUAUGUCGGGAAUACUGUGCCAUAGGGCUCUGGUCAAAGUAAUGCACUAUGUCGGGAAUAUGAUGCCAUAGGGCCCUGGUCAAAAGUAGUGCACUAUACAGGGAAUGUGCCAGUAGGGAUGCACACUGAAAGGAAAAUAGAAUCUCUUCCUCCAUGUGAGUUAUUUCAAAUCAAAUCAAAGUUUAUUUGUCACGUGCGCCGAAUACAACAGGUGUAGACCUUACAGUGAAAUGCUUACUUACAGGCUCUAACCAAUAGUGCGUAAUAAUUCUAUUGGGACUGUGGUUAGCUCGCUUAGGGACCGGAAGAAGGUCACAGGUUCAAUUCCCCCUCAAGGACAACUAACCCACAAGAGAACCCAAAACCCCCAGUUCCCUAAAAAAUGUAUUGUAUACACUCUGCUGUAAGUUGCUCUGGAUAAGAGCAUCUGCUAAAUGACAAAAAUAAAAUAGUGUGCCUCGCUCUC
rnacentral:lncRNA from 1 species